GCGCAAGUUAGGGAUAUCUUGUUGAAUAAAUUGAGAAAUACUUCUUCGAGAUUUCCGACUGCUGACUACGAAUCAGAAGGCCGGGAGUUCGAAUCUCUCAGGGCGCG
rnacentral:tRNA from 1 species